rnacentral:rRNA from 1 species
GUAGUCUCGCACAGAUGCAUAUCAAUAAGCGGAGGAAAAGAAACUAACAAGGAUUCCCCUAGUAACGGCGAGUGAAGCGGGAAGAGCUCAAAUUUGAAAUCUUAAAGGGUUUCCCUUUACGAAUUGUAGUUUAAAGAAGUGUUUUCUGUUGAGGUUUUGGUAAAAGUUCUUUGGAAUAGGACAUCAUAGAGGGCGAGAAUCCCGUAUUUGACCUUUACUUUCAACUUUGUGAUACACUUUCAAAGAGUCGGAUUGUUUGGGAAUGCAGUCCAAAAUGGGUGGUAAAUUUCAUCUAAAGCUAAAUAUUGGCGAGAGACCGAUAGCGAACAAGUACCGUGAGGGAAAGAUGAAAAGAACUUUGAAAAGAGAGUUAAACAGUACGUGAAAUUGUCAAAAGGGAAGCGUUUGACACCAGUGUUGUUUUUCUGAAAAUCAAUUAAAGAACUGUUUAUGCUAAGCUGUUUAGACUUUAUCAGCUAUACUGUUUAGUUUUGAGCUUUUCUUUAAUGCACUUUUCAGUUAACAAGUCAACAUCAAUUUCUUUUGCUGUAAAAAAGCUUGAGGAAGGUGGCUUGAGAUUCGUCUUAAGUGUUUAUAGCCUCUUGCCUAUGCAGUCGGAGAGAUUGAUGUCUGCAGCGUAGAUCCUUCGGGGCUAAAUGCAUUUGUGCUAAGUUAUAGCAUUUUAUAGACAACUUGUUGACUAUGAUUUGUCUUGUAGCUUACUCGCUUAUGUUAUUUUACCUACGCUUAGGAUGUUGAUCUGUAGUGCGUGCGC